AUAAGUCAUAAAUUCAAGUAUUCCAUAAGAAAGCUAAAUACAUACAUACAUUUUAUCAGACAAAGGCAUUAAAGUAGAUCCGGAAAAGGUGGCAACGAUUCCUUCAUUCAGAGACUCAAAAAAUAAGGAGGUAACCCGACCUAAAGCUCCAUUUGGCGAAAAUUCCGAGCUUAUCAUACUUCGAUCCAAACAAUAGAACACGCCUAAUAGCAGACGACACUCCAGUUGCGUUAGGAAAUUCUAUACCACCGACGAUCAAAAGCUUGUUUGCAAGACGCUGCCAAUCAGACGUAGAAAAACGGUACUCUCAGACCGAGAAAGCAAGCCUGUGGGCAAUUGAAAAGUUUUGAUUUUAUUUAGCCGGACUAGAAUUCAAAUUGAUGACUGACCACAAGUCGUUAGAAACCAUUUUUAAGCCAACUUCAAAACCUCCAGCUCGAAAUGAGCGAUGGCUGUUACGUCUACAAGCUCUUAAAUACAAGGUCAUCUACAAAGCGGCUUGCAGAUAACUGCACAUAAUGUAUUUCGGGAUAUUGAGUACACUGUCCCUACAUCAUUGAACAUAUCGGAAAUCGCACGCUGCAGAUGAUGAAAUCAUGGACGAAAUGACCUGUUUGGAUGAAAAUUACUGGCAAGCUGGCACAUCUUUCAGCUUCUACCCAUUUCGUUUCGAACUUUCAAUGCAUGGUUUAAUUUUAUUGAGUGGCACACGGUUAAUCAUCCCAAAAGGACUGCGCAAUAGAGUUUUAGAAUUAGCUCAUGAAGUGCACUGCACCCGGGUGAGUCGCCACAUCGAUCGAGAUGCUAAAAAUGUUGUGAAAACAUGCAAGAUUUGCAUGUUCGUUUCUCAACCGCCACGUCCAGCCCCAAUGCAAAGAACAGUUUUUCCAACAAGCCCUUGGAAUUCCAUAGAUAGUGAUCUAUUAGGUCCACUUUCAAACGGACUUUUUUUCCUUGUGUUUAUCGACUAUUUUUUCAGGUAUAUGGAGAUAACAUUUUUACAGACAAUAUCAUCGAAAUCAAUAAUCGGGGCGAUGAAAGAAAUAUUUUGCCGCUUAGGUUUCCCAAAAUAUCUGCGGACUGAUAACGGGACACAAUAUAUAUAUAUUAGUAAGAUUUUCGAACAAUACUGUAACACGAAUGGCAUUCCUCCAUAUUGGCCUCAGGCGAAUGCAAGCAAUCCAGGAUUUUAUGUUUAUGCACAAUGCACAAUUCUUAGAAUUUAUGAAAUUUCGCGUUCCCACUAUCUGAGUAACCGGUUUCUGAAAGUCAGAGAAGUCAACUAUACCAUUCUAAACCAUUCGCUAAUAAAAAAGUUUAUUAGGUCAACAGAGAGUUUUGUAAAAUUGAAAGGAGAAUUUGGAGAGCGAUGGUGAGACGGAGCGAAUAUAGCAAGACAACAGAAGAACAGAUAGUGUCUGCUUUUUGUCAAGAGAACAAGGGUACUUAGCUGGACUUCGGACCAUGUGACUAGACCCAUCAUAGAAUAACGUUCUAAGGUAAACUCCAGGCCGAGGGCAACAAGGGACCUACAGCCGCGAAAAUGGUUAGUGGGAUUGGGAAGUUCGGAGAUUGCGUUACGUAAGCUGAGCAAUUGCCCGAAGCUUAACGCGUCUAGGACGUCCAGGACGAUGAGAGAGGGGGACAACGAAAACGAGGCCGCCGAGCAAUCCCAUCAAGGCGUCUUGCAGAAGGGACUACGGCGUAAACCGGGCGAUAUCAUGAAGCGCUUGUGAAAACCGAACAUGCGUCUGGAGGGACCAGCCGGGACAGAGCAAGGGUCAGCAGUUCGUACGGCAUUCGGCAUUCGCUUUGAGAGCCCAGCGCCUCUUUACCCUAGUCUGCGAUAAGAGGCCAGUCGACGCAAUACAAGAAUCCACGGACGACACACAAGAACGGAUUGCUGACAAAAUUAAGAGUGCCCAAGACGCGCUAAGGUCUAGAGAGAAUGCAUUUCGACAAAACAGAGUCUUCAAAGUGGGCGAAAAGCAGACCUGGGGACCGGUUCAUCGGAGCGCGGAGAUCUGCGAUGCAAAUAAACGGGAUGAUCGCCGAGCUAGGACCAGCCAAGGACGGCCGUAAUCUUGAAGGGGGAGUAGUUAACUCAAGCCAACGAACUAGAACAGUUGGCUAAGUAUAUGAAACAUAAUAUCAAAGUGCUGACCCAGCAUUGGUCCGGAAACCCGUGCGCAGCCGGCAAACACAGGAUAUUUUCGUGGCCGCUACGAGUCUUUGUUAGCUUUAAGAAUCAUUUUAAGUUUCAGUUUGAAUUUGCAUUUACCAGAAUAAAGAGCGUCAGCUCGUCAACUCCGA